CAUUCAAGACAGGGAACUCUAUUUAGGACUGACCAGGGUGAGUUUCUAGUUGGAUCAGGAGUUGAUCAGAUCUACUCAAGGCCAGUCUGAGUAGGGAAGAGACAGGAGUGCAUAGUCAGAGUGCAAGAAUCAGCAGCAAAGAAGCUGAAACAAAGCACCAGAGCACAUCAAGAACGGAGAACCAGUAUCUGCCGUGGAUCCAGAGGGCUCCACUGUGAGUGCCAUGGGGCCAGGCAAACCUCAUGGCUGGACAUCUCUGAGAGAUCCACUGUCAGGAAAUGGAACUGCUGUAUCCUGGGAGCCUGCAAGGGUCUUGGAGAGGGGGAAGGACCAGAUCUGCCUACAAGAUCACCCACUUUGUGUGGACAGCUGCAGGAGGAACCACCACUACAUGAUGAUCUUUAGAGUACAGCAGGAGAACAAUUUAACCUGCUGGCAGGGAGGCUGUCAUGGAACCAGCUGUUUAGAGCAAGCCAGGAAAAGAUCAUGGGGAAACCCAGACACUUCUGCCAGAAAUCACUAUGAAUUUGACUUAUCUUCUGAUUGCCCCAGGCAGCAUCAGGAAAGCCAAAUAA